rnacentral:rRNA from 1 species
ACAAGCGGCGGAGCAUGCGGAUUAAUUCGAUGCAACGCGAAGAACCUUUACCAGGUCUUGACAUCCCGAUGCUAUUUCUAGAGAUAGAAAGCUACUUCGGUACAUCGGUGACAGGUGGUGCAUGGUUGUCGUCAGCUCGUGUCGUGAGAUGUUGGGUUAAGUCCCGCAACGAGCGCAACCCUCGUCCUAUGUUGCCAGCGGGUCAUGCCGGGGACUCAUGGGAGACUGCCGGGGUCAACUCGGAGGAAGGUGGGGAUGACGUCAAAUCAUCAUGCCCCUUAUGUCUUGGGCUUCACGCAUGCUACAAUGGCCGGUACAAAGGGCUGCGAUACCGCGAGGUGGAGCGAAUCCCAGAAAGCCGGUCUCAGUUCGGAUUGGGGUCUGCAACUCGACCCCAUGAAGUCGGAGUCGCUAGUAAUCGCAGACCAGCAACGCUGCGGUGAAUACGUUCCCGGGCCUU